UGAAACACCCCCUCUGCCAUCUCCGUCCCUGAAACACCCCCUCUGCCAUCUCCAUCCCUGAAACACCCCCUCUGCCUUCUCCAUCCCUGAAACACCCCCUCUGCCAUCUCCAUCCAGGAAACACCCCCUCUGCCAUCUCCAUCCCUGAAACACCCCCUCUGCCAUCUCCAUCCAGGAAACACACCCUGCUUCAUUUUAUCAAGAGGUUGACAUGUUCAAGAGGGUAUGUUAUUCUAUUUUACUGAUAGAGCAAGCAUAUACAUUAAUCUUAU